rnacentral:rRNA from 1 species
CCUACGGGGGGCUGCAGUGGGGAAUAUUGGACAAUGGGCGAAAGCCUGAUCCAGCCAUGCCGCGUGUGUGAAGAAGGCCUUCGGGUUGUAAAGCACUUUCAGUGGGGAAGAAAGCCUUGGGGCUAAUACCCUCGAGGAAGGACAUCACCCACAGAAGAAGCACCGGCUAACUCCGUUCCAGCAGCCGCGGUAAUACGGAGGGUGCGAGCGUUAAUCGGAAUUACUGGGCGUAAAGCGCGCGUAGGCGGUCUGAUAAGCCGGUUGUGAAAGCCCCGGGCUCAACCUGGGAACGGCAUCCGGAACUGUCAGGCUAGAGUGCAGGAGAGGAAGGUAGAAUUCCCGGUGUAGCGGUGAAAUGCGUAGAGAUCGGGAGGAAUACCAGUGGCGAAGGCGGCCUUCUGGACUGACACUGACGCUGAGGUGCGAAAGCGUGGGUAGCAAACAGGAUUAGAUACCCCGGUAGUC